rnacentral:lncRNA from 1 species
GAGUUUCAAAGAGUGUGGGUGGUUUGUUAGACCUCCAACAAUUGAACUCGGCGAGACAACAAAAGUGUUGUCAUGAGGCAACAAGAGUGUUGCAAAAUUGGUGCAAAGAGUGACGCCAAAAGUCACAAAGGGAAACGGGGCAAGCGAUGGCUAAGGCUUUGAACGGAUGCGAGGCAGCUUGGCAAGGGCUUGACAAUGAGUUGUGGGAUGCGGAUGGCACUUGAUCAUGAUUAUAGCAUCAAGGCAUGAGGCAUUGAUGCCAAGGCAUGGCAGAAACGGAUGGGCAAAGACAAGCAAAUGUGCAACAGAAAGGCAAUGUGCGGGCAGAUUUGGC